AAAGGAGAUUGUAAUAAAAAUAGCUGCUAACUAAUUUUUAAAGCGGUUCAACUCCGUUUUCUCCUUC
rnacentral:tRNA from 1 species